UGAUUUGAAGAGCUUGCUCAGAUAUGACGAUGGACAUUGCAAAGAGUGGCGAACGGGUGAGUAACACGUGGGAAACCUACCUCUUAGCAGGGGAUAACAUUUGGAAACAGAUGCUAAUACCGUAUAACAAUGACAACCGCAUGGUUGUUAUUUAAAAGAUGGUUCUGCUAUCACUAAGAGAUGGUCCCGCGGUGCAUUAGCUAGUUGGUAAGGUAAUGGCUUACCAAGGCGAUGAUGCAUAGCCGAGUUGAGAGACUGAUCGGCCACAAUGGGACUGAGACACGGCCCAUACUCCUACGGGAGGCAGCAGUAGGGAAUCUUCCACAAUGGGCGAAAGCCUGAUGGAGCAACGCCGCGUGUGUGAUGAAGGGUUUCGGCUCGUAAAACACUGUUGUAAGAGAAGAAUGACAUUGAGAGUAACUGUUCAAUGUGUGACGGUAUCUUACCAGAAAGGAACGGCUAAAUACGUGCCAGCAGCCGCGGUAAUACGUAUGUUCCAAGCGUUAUCCGGAUUUAUUGGGCGUAAAGCGAGCGCAGACGGUUAUUUAAGUCUGAAGUGAAAGCCCUCAGCUCAACUGAGGAAUUGCUUUGGAAACUGGAUGACUUGAGUGCAGUAGAGGAAAGUGGAACUCCAUGUGUAGCGGUGAAAUGCGUAGAUAUAUGGAAGAACACCAGUGGCGAAGGCGGCUUUCUGGACUGUAACUGACGUUGAGGCUCGAAAGUGUGGGUAGCAAACAGGAUUAGAUACCCUGGUAGUCCACACCGUAAACGAUGAGUGCUAGGUGUUUGAGGGUUUCCGCCCUUAAGUGCCGCAGCUAACGCAUUAAGCACUCCGCCUGGGGAGUACGACCGCAAGGUUGAAACUCAAAGGAAUUGACGGGGACCCGCACAAGCGGUGGAGCAUGUGGUUUAAUUCGAAGCAACGCGAAGAACCUUACCAGGUCUUGACAUCCCUUGACAACUCCAGAGAUGGAGCGUUCCCUUCGGGGACAAGGUGACAGGUGGUGCAUGGUUGUCGUCAGCUCGUGUCGUGAGAUGUUGGGUUAAGUCCCGCAACGAGCGCAACCCUUAUUACUAGUUGCCAGCAUUCAGUUGGGCACUCUAGUGAGACUGCCGGUGACAAACCGGAGGAAGGUGGGGAUGACGUCAAAUCAUCAUGCCCCUUAUGACCUGGGCUACACACGUGCUACAAUGGCGUAUACAACGAGUUGCCAACCCGCGAGGGUGAGCUAAUCUCUUAAAGUACGUCUCAGUUCGGAUUGUAGGCUGCAACUCGCCUACAUGAAGUCGGAAUCGCUAGUAAUCGCGGAUCAGCACGCCGCGGUGAAUACGUUCCCGGGUCUUGUACACACCGCCCGUCACACCAUGAGAGUU
rnacentral:rRNA from 1 species